GCCUCAGUGGCGGAACUGGCAGACGCGCCGGACUUCCACUCCGGUGGGCAUCAGCGGCAGCCGUAAACCUGCCGUGCUCGUGAGGGUUCGAAGCCCUCCUGAGGCACCA
rnacentral:tRNA from 1 species